GACGAACGCUGGCGGCGCGCCUAACACAUGCAAGUCGAACGGAGCUGAGAGAAGCUUGCUUUUCUUAGCUUAGUGGCGAACGGGUGAGUAACGCGUGAGUAACCUGCCCUGGAGUGGGGGACAACAGUUGGAAACGACUGCUAAUACCGCAUAAGCCCACGAUCCGGCAUCGGAUUGAGGGAAAAGGAUUUAUUCGCUUCAGGAUGGACUCGCGUCCAAUUAGCUAGUUGGUGAGGUAACGGCCCACCAAGGCGACGAUUGGUAGCCGGACUGAGAGGUUGAACGGCCACAUUGGGACUGAGACACGGCCGAGACUCCUACGGGAGGCAGCAGUGGGGGAUAUUGCACAAUGGGGGAAACCCUGAAGCAGCGACGCCGCGUGGAGGAAGAAGGUUUUCGGAUUGUAAACUCCUGUCGUUAGGGACGAUAAUGACGGUACCUAACAAGAAAGCACCGGCUAACUACGUG
rnacentral:rRNA from 1 species